AGAUAAAAAUUUAUGAUUUUCAAAAUUUAUUUAUAAUUUAUUUUACAUAUAAAUUUUAGUAUUAAUUUUUAAUUAUUUUAAUAAUAUUUAAUAAUUUUGUAGUAAUUAAAAUUAAAAAUUUAAGAAAUUAAGAUUUAGAAAUAUUAAAAUUAAUAACAAAUUUUGUGCCAGCAGUUGCGGUUAUACAAAAUAAUUGAAUUAAAUUUUUUCAGUAUAUAAUUAAUGAAUAAUAUAUAUAUAUAUAUAUAUAUAUAUAUAUAAAAUUAAAUAUUAAAUUAUUAGGUGAAAUUUUAAUUUAAUUAAAAUUUUAUUUAAUUUCAUGAUUUAAUAAAUUUUGAUUUAAACUAGGAUUAGAUACCCUAUUAUUAAAAACUUAAUUUAAUAUACUAAAAUAGUAGAUAAUUAAUUAUUGAAACUUAAAUAAUUUGGCGGUAUUUUAGUUCAUUUAGAGGAAUCUGUUUAAUAAUUGAUAUUCCACGAAUAAAUUUACUUAAUUUAUUAUUUUAUAUAUCGUUGUUAAAAAAAUAUUUUUAAAUAAAAAUAAUAUUUAAAAAUUAAAAUAAGAAAUUAAUUCAAAUCAAGAUGUAGAUUAUAAUUAAGAAUAUAAUGGAUUACAAUAAAUUUAUUUAAAUGGAUAUUAUUUUGUAAUAAAUAAUUGAAAGUGGAUUUAAAUGUAAUUUUAUUUAUUUUAAUAAAAUGGUUAUAAAUUGGAAUAUGUACAUAUUGCCCGUCACUUUCAUUUUAAAAUUGGAAUAAGUCGUAACAAAGUAGAGGUACUGGAAAGUGUUUCUAGAAAGAU
rnacentral:ncRNA from 1 species